UAAAGCGUCACAAUAUUGGGGAUGAGAGGUGGCGACAGGGGUUCGAGGCAUGAGGUGGCGAAUGAUGGCAGGGGAAGGGAGCAAAGAAAGUAGAGAGAGAGAGAGAGAGAGAGAGAGAGAGAGUAGGUAGGUCGUGGUGUUUGACAAUGGCACCAGAAUUCAUGAACUGGAGUAUCCAGUACGUUGGAAAUUCAUCUGUAGGAUCGAGCAGAAGUUUGGCAUAUUUAGCAAACUGGAUGCUUGCACUUUUGUCGUAAAUGCUUAUGAUGAAGUAUAGUCACAGGUUGUUCUUCCCAUGGUAAUCAUUUUGCCACUAUUGCAACUGCCUUCUAUCCUAAGGUAUGUUAACAUGAUUAGAUACUGCAUUUCUUCACUUUUUUCCUUACAAUUGUUUGUUUUUAAUUACUUAGAGUUGCACCUGGAGCUUAGUUGAUUUCCUUCAAGAUCGGAGACACUCUUAGGCUUGAUGGAAACACGAAUUGGUUUGGUUCAGACAUUAUUUGCCGCAGUGAAGGCAAUUAGUUUAUUUCCAGAUUUUGGUUUACAAAAUGAAAUUGAGGACACUUAAGAUUUUAGAUACUAUCAAUAAUUUACUUUUCCAUGCUAAAUAAUGCUAUAAAUAUUUUGGCUGAAGUGAUGAUUCAGUAUUACAUAAGCAGCGGUUGCAGCGGCAGCAGCAGCACUAGCAGCAUAAUCAAUAGAAAAGAAGAAGAUAAAGAAUAAGAAGAAGAAGAAGAAGAAAAAGAACAAGCAAGUAGUAGCAGCACCACAAAUUGUGUAGCAUGCAUCUAUGGUAUGUUGAUUUUCCAAAUAUUCUAAUAUGCAAGCUCUAUAUAAACUUAAGACUAUUGAAUAUGUGCUAUAAUUAUCUUACAUACAUUGAUUUUAAUUUUAAUUCUUUGUUA